rnacentral:tRNA from 1 species
GCUGAGGUAGCCUAGUCUGGCCAAGGCGCUAGACUCGAGAUCUAGUGGGCCAAAAGCCCUCAGGAGUUCAAAUCUCCUCCUCAGCG